GGCGGUGGGCGGGGUCGGAACGGUAAUCGUGGCCUGAGACAGGACAAGGAACUGUUGGCGGGGCCGGGCCGGGACUGGAGCACUGGCCGGAGGUCCGGACCGCACCGGCGACGGUGGGGCGGGAGGAGCCGCCUUCUGAGGCCAGGCUGCCCCGGUCUAGGGGAAGACUCUGCCAGGCCGCCUUGCCUUGCGCUCUGCACCAUCAGCCCCUUGUUAUCUGUUCCCUCUAGGACGCCCCAAUUUUUGACAGUGACAGUCUCCUUUCGGUGGUCCCGCCCAAAGUGGAAUCUGAGCAAGAGACACCCUACUACCUGCGCAGCCCUCAAACGUCUGCAGAUGCUGCUCACAGUCUUCUGAACACCCAGGGAUCUCUUAGAGGAAGCCUGAAAAUAAAUGUGAGAAGCUUUAUAAACACUUAGGACUGACUGACAGACCUGAACCCAGCAUGCGGAGACAAAGGUGCCAACACCCCCAGGCCCCUACGUGGAUACCCAACCUGAGCAGUUUCUCUGUGCUCCUGAGCCUCUUCUCAGUACUACAGGAAGGACAUUCAUCGGCACUUCACAGAAGGGGAAGCCAGAAGGCUCAGUGAUCAUCACACUCUGAGUGCAGGGUAGGGCUGGGUUUCUUCUUCACCAACCUGGAUGGACACAGCAGAAGCAAGGUGGGCCAGGCUGAGGCUCAGGCACAGACCUUCCUCUAAGGGGAUUCACAGAGCUGGAAAGGAACAGGGGUGUCAGAAUGGAACAAGGGAACAGCUUUCUUCUAAGCUGAACAUGAAACUCAAACCAGAGGUUCUUGGUUCAGGGCCUGCCAGCAGAGUUAGACCUGGAGGGAGCACCUGAGCCCCAGAACUGCCUGCUUCUGAUGGCUCUCGGGAGUCAUCAUGCUCUUUACUUUCUAAAAGUCACAUGUGUGUGUUUGUGAAAGCUCGGUCCUUGUCCCUGAUAUCAACCAAUAAUGAGGACACAGUAUUGAGAAAAAGGAAGAAGAAAGUUUAUUGCGUUGUCAGCAAAGGAGAAACACGGGGACUCCUGUCCAAGAGGCUGUGAUUCUGCCUGUCAGCAGGAGCAGGGGGCUGGGGUGGGGGUGAUCAUUUCACAGGCACACGUUCUUAUAGAAGUUAAGCAGCAUUGCCUCAGAAUCAAAACUUUGGAACUUCUAGAUAAAACGACUCUGAUCUGAAAUGGUGAAUCUGAUGCCAAUAUUGAUCUGAUGCCAAUAUUGCACAUCAGCAGGAGCAGGGGAUUUUUAAAGAGGUGACUCAAAGGCUACAAUCCACUUGU